CACAUCAUCCAUCCAGCGAGCCAAUCAGCGCUCCGCAGGUCACGGUCCCGCCCACUGAACGAUCAGACCGAUUGAGAGAAAGCGGACAGUUGAAGCUGUAUGUAGCGGUUAGUCUUUGCUUGUGUGUGUGUCUAUGAAAAGUUGGCAGCUCUAUGUGUGAGAGACAAGCCUGUUGCACAUGCUCAGUGCGCUCCUGCGAGACCUUGCAUGCAAGCCACAUCCUGUUUCACUCAAGAUAAAAGGUUUGCUGUAAGAUUUGAUAUUUCCACAUCAGCUCGCCGGUUCAAACGGAUCACUUAAACCUACUAGACAAGCCAUGGAUUUUGAGAACAGCAAAGAAGGAUGUAAAAAUUGCGAAGGGAAUUGCAAUAACACAUGCCAAUGUCACUGCCACACAAUAACCCAGGGUCCAAAACCUAGGCAAAUGACUGAGGAGAAGAUGUGUGAGAAGCCUGAAAUGUCUUCAAAAGACUGCAAUUACUGUCAUUGCGGCUACUGUUAUUUUGGCCCCUGUGAUUGUGGCUCCAAUGAUGGUGGCGCCGGUGAUGAUGGCUCCGGUGAUUGUGGCUCCUGUGAUUGCGACGUCUGCGAUUGCGGUUCCUGUGAUUGCGACGUCUGCGAUUGCGGCUCCUGUGAUUGUGGCUCCUGCGAUUGCGGCCCCUGCGAUUGUGUUAUUCAGUGAAUGCUUGCUGUAUGUUGUUCAGACAGAGUAGAUGGAUUUGUGGAGACGCCGAGGUGCUCAGGGCGGUUUCAGCUCCAGUGAAGAACAUCAUCAACACAGAGACAACUGCACUGCCAUUAUGCAUGUUAAACAUCAUAAAGAUAAUAUUGAAUAUAAAUAAAAUAUACAUUCUGUGUGAAUGUGUUCAUUAUGCAUGUGAAAUUAUUGUAAAGUUAUACUGCAUUUUCUCUGUAAACAUACAUAUUAUAAAUGUAUAAUACAGAAUGUGGCCUUUUACAGUAUGUGGCCUGAAGCUAAAAUGCUUUUAUCGAUAACUAAAGAUAUUAAAGUAAAGAAAGAUGAUGUUUUUAGUUUUAAUUGUUAUAUUUGGUUAUGGGUUUGUAGUUUAAAUUCAUAUUAAAGGUUCUGUAGAAUGUCUUUUUAAAAGAUGUAAUAUAA